UUUGAUGAAAGAGUGAAGUUUCUCCAGAGUCGCACACAUUCAUUAUCAUUCUUUCUCUCUGCACAUCUGCGCGCGCGUCACAAAGCCCUCAUUAACGGCUCGCGUGAGCAGCUGGUUUGCGCGGGAGUGUUUCACUGAGUACAGAGCAGACAGGAAGUUGGGGAAAAGGGAUCUUUUCUUGACACAGACCAGACUUGAUCCUUAUCGGGCAUGACCACACCGUCUAAUCACUGGACCACAGUUCUGACAAACACCGACUGCAUUUGUCCUGCUUUCUAGAACAUCCCGCCGCUCUCACCUCUUCUUCUCUUCCUUCAUAAGCAUGUGCGGCCGUCUCCAAGGGUCCUUAAAGUUCCGCUUGAAUGAGUCAGGCAGGAU